rnacentral:rRNA from 1 species
AUUUGGCGGACGGGUGAGUAACGUGUGGGAACGUACCUUUUGCUACGGAAUAACUCAGGGAAACUUGUGCUAAUACCGUAUGUGCCCUUCGGGGGAAGGAUUUAUCGGCAAAGGAUCGGCCCGCGUUGGAUUAGCUAGUUGGUGAGGUAAAGGCUCACCAAGGCGACGAUCCAUAGCUGGUCUGAGAGGAUGAUCAGCCACACUGGGACUGAGACACGGCCCAGACUCCUACGGGAGGCAGCAGUUAAGAAUCUUGCACAGUGGGCGCAAGCCUGAUGCAGCGACGCCGCGUGAGUGAAGAAGGCCUUAUGGUUGUAAAGCACUUUAAGCGAGGAGGAGGCUCUCUUGGUUAAUACCCAAGAUGAGUGGACGUUACUCGCAGAAUAAGCACCGGCUAACUCUGUGCCAGCAGCCGCGGUAAUAAU